rnacentral:rRNA from 1 species
GUUAAGCGACUAAGCGUACACGGUGGAUGCCCUGGCAGUCAGAGGCGAUGAAGGACGUGCUAAUCUGCGAUAAGCGUCGGUAAGGUGAUAUGAACCGUUAUAACCGGCGAUUUCCGAAUGGGGAAACCCAGUGUGAUUUGUCACACUAUCAUUAACUGAAUCCAUAGGUUAAUGAGGCGAACCGGGGGAACUGAAACAUCUAAGUACCCCGAGGAAAAGAAAUCAACCGAGAUUCCCCCAGUAGCGGCGAGCGAACGGGGAGCAGCCCAGAGCCUGAAUCAGUGUGUGUGUUAGUGGAAGCGUCUGGAAAGGCGCGCGAUACAGGGUGACAGCCCCGUACACAAAAAUGCACAUACUGUGAGCUCGAUGAGUAGGGCGGGACACGUGGUAUC